CCACAUCGCGUUGAAACACUGGUUCCCAUACAAUCACUGAAGUUAAGUAAGGUUGAUCCUGGUCAGUACCUGGAUGGGUAACUGCUUGGGAAUAACAGAUGCUGUAA